AUCCAAGGAAGGCAGCAGGCGCGCAAAUUACCCACUCCCGGCACGGGGAGGUAGUGACGAAAAAUAACGAUACGGGACUCAUCCGAGGCCCCGUAAUCGGAAUGAGAACACUCUAAACCCUUUAACGAGGAUCAAUUGGAGGGCAAGUCUGGUGCCAGCAGCCGCGGUAAUUCCAGCUCCAAUAGCGUAUAUUAAAGUUGUUGCGGUUAAAAAGCUCGUAGUCGAAUUUGUGUCUCGCGCCGCCGGUUCAUCGCUCGCGGUGUUUAACUGGCGUGCCGCGGGACGUCCUGCCGGUGGUGUCCGUCGUCUCCUCGCGGGGCGGCGGCCCAACUCAGAAUCCCAUGCCGGUGCUCUUCGCUGAGUGUCGGGAUGGGCCGGCACGUUUACUUUGAACAAAUUAGAGUGCUUAAAGCAGGCUAAAACUUCGCCUGAAUAUUAUGUGCAUGGAAUAAUGGAAUAGGACCUCGGUUCUAUUUUGUUGGUUUUCGGAACCCCGAGGUAAUGAUUAAUAGGAACGGAUGGGGGCAUUCGUAUUGCGACGUUAGAGGUGAAAUUCUUGGAUCGUCGCAAGACGGACGGAAGCGAAAGCAUUUGCCAAAAACGUUUUCAUUGAUCAAGAACGAAAGUUAGAGGUUCGAAGGCGAUCAGAUACCGCCCUAGUUCUAACCAUAAACGAUGCCAGCUAGCGAUCCGCCGACGUUCCUCCGAUGACUCGGCGGGCAGCUUCCGGGAAACCAAAGCUUUUGGGUUCCGGGGGAAGUAUGGUUGCAAAGCUGAAACUUAAAGGAAUUGACGGAAGGGCACCACCAGGAGUGGAGCCUGCGGCUUAAUUUGACUCAACACGGGAAACCUCACCAGGCCCGGACACCGGAAGGAUUGACAGAUUGAGAGCUCUUUCUUGAUUCGGUGGGUGGUGGUGCAUGGCCGUUCUUAGUUGGUGGAGCGAUUUGUCUGGUUAAUUCCGAUAACGAACGAGACUCUAGCCUGCUAACUAGGCGUAAUUAUCGACAUCUCAAAGGCCCCACGGCCCGGCGCUUUCGCGCCGCGGUCGCGCGCGGUUUUUACUGUCGGCGUACAAUCAAUUCUUCUUAGAGGGACAGGCGGCGUCCAGCCGCACGAGAUUGAGCAAUAACAGGUCUGUGAUGCCCUUAGAUGUUCUGGGCCGCACGCGCGCUACACUGAAGGAACCAGCGUGUCCUCCCCGGCCGAGAGGCCCGGGUAACCCGCUGAACCUCCUUCGUGCUAGGGAUUGGGGCUUGCAAUUGUUCCCCAUGAACGAGGAAUUCCCAGUAAGCGCGAGUCAUAAGCUCGCGUUGAUUACGUCCCUGCCCUUUGUACACACCGCCCGUCGCUACUACCGAUUGAAUGAUUUAGUGAGGUCUUCGGACCGGUACGCGGCGGCGCUCCCGCGUCGCCGAUGUUGCUGGGAAGAUGACCAAACUUGAUC
rnacentral:rRNA from 1 species